UACGGAGGGUGCGAACGUUAAUCGGAAUUACUGGGCGUAAAGCGCGCGUAGGCGGUUCGAUAAGUGGGGUGUGAAAGCCCAGGGCUUAACCCUGGAACUGCAUUCCAAACUGUCGAGCUAGAGUAUGGUAGAGGGAGGUAGAAUUUCCUGUGUAGCGGUGAAAUGCGUAGAUAUAGGAAGGAAUACCGGUGGCGAAGGCGGCCUCCUGGACCAAUACUGACGCUGAGGUGCGAAAGCGUGGGGAGCAAACAGG
rnacentral:rRNA from 1 species